GCAUUGAAACACUGGUUCUUGUACAAUCACUGAAGUUAAGCAACACUGAGCCUGGUCAGUACCUAGAUGGGUGACCACUUGGAAAUACCAGGUGAUGUAAG